UACAGAGGGUGCAAGCGUUAAUCGGAAUUACUGGGCGUAAAGCGCACGUAGGUGGCUGGGUAAGUUGGAUGUGAAAUCCCCGGGCUUAACUUGGGAAUUGCAUUCAAGACUGCCUUGCUAGAGUGUGGAAGAGGGAAGCGGAAUUCCAGGUGUAGCGGUGAAAUGCGUAGAUAUCUGGAGGAACAUCAGUGGCGAAGGCGGCUUCCUGGUCCAACACUGACACUGAGGCGCGACAGCGUGGGGAGCAAACAGG
rnacentral:rRNA from 1 species